AAAGCUGCUUUUGCAGCACUGUGGAGCUCAGCAUAUUUCAGGUUACAAACCAUGUUUUAAAAGCUUGAUGCCUACUUACGUGGCUAGCCCCCACAGAGACCAGAGAGAUGCAGCUUGAACAGGACCCAGGUGAUGGCAGCCGUUUUACGCUUGCCAAAUAACUACCCCAGAGCAAGCUUAUGUUGAAAGAAGAGAAUGUGCACAGGGAGGAAGAUGUGCCUCAUGUUCAGUUCAUUAAGGGCGGCAACCUAUCAAUCAGACACAGCCCUUGAGAAGACCUUCAAAGAAGAUAAAGUAAAUGCCAGACACACCCAAGACCUGGAAUUCUAGUGAAUGGAAUAAAACCACAGUGAGAAACCACACUACACAAAAGGCAGUCCAGCUGCUGAAGAAACUGACAGGUCACUACUCAGAAAGUGUUGGAGAUUCCCUUAAGAAGUGCCAACAAAAGCUAAGAAGUGACUGAUCGAGUGCAGAAGAGUGGGUAAUAGACAUCUGAGAGAUGGGUACAUAAUGGGGGUUGCCGAUCCACUAAAUAAUCCGAAGACAUUUUCUAUUAGAACUAAGACUUGCUUAAACAUCUUUGGUAACAGAACAGUGCUCAGGUAUUGUAACAGUUCAGAAUGACAAUAGGGGUCAGAUAUGUUUACCUCAGCAAAGAGAAGAAGAAUGCAAACCUGAAACAGGGUCAGAAGAAUGAACAAAAUUUCCAAUAUUAUUCCUGUUGCAAUUAACAAACAUUAAAAGAGGAAUUAAUAUAAUUUGAAAUAUUAUAUCUAUAGUGUUUUGGUACGGGGAGGCAAGGGGAAUGGGGCAGGCAACAUUGUCUUUUUCAGAGUAAUAUCAGAAAUAUCAAGUUAGGGAUAUGCAUAGUCAUGCAUCUUUAUUGGUUUCAUGUCUGUUAAAUCAUAAUUCUUGUGACUUCCCUGCUUGAAGGAAUUAAACGUUUGUUUUAAAUUCAUGUAGCCAUUUACAGUUUUCUUAUGAUUCAAGCCUGCAAAUAUUAUGUUUCCAUGGAUGCCAG
rnacentral:lncRNA from 1 species